UAACACAUGCAAGUCGAGGGGUAACAGGGAUUGCUUGCAAUCCGCUGACGACCGGCGCACGGGUGCGUAACGCGUAUGCAACCUACCUUCUACAGGGGGAUAGUCAAUAGAAAUGUUGAAUAAUACCCCAUAUGAUCUUUGAAUAGCAUUAUUUAAAGAAGAAAGCUCCGGCGGUAGAAGAUGGGCAUGCGUCCUAUUAGUUAGUUGGUAAGGUAACGGCUUACUAAGACUUCGAUAGGUAGGGGUCCUGAGAGGGAGACCCCCCACACUGGUACUGAGACACGGACCAGACUCCUACGGGAGGCAGCAGUGAGGAAUAUUGGACAAUGGAGGCAACUCUGAUCCAGCCAUGCCGCGUGCAGGAAGACUGCCCUAUGGGUUGUAAACUGCUUUUAUACAGGAAGAAAUAUACCUACGUGUAGGUAUUUGACGGUACUGUACGAAUAAGGAUCGGCUAACUCCGUGCCAGCAGCCGCGGUAAUACGGAGGAUCCAAGCGUUAUCCGGAAUCAUUGGGUUUAAAGGGUCCGUAGGCGGUCUUUUAAGUCAGAGGUGAAAUCCUACAGCUCAACUGUAGAAUUGCCUUUGAUACUGAAAGACUUGAGUUAUUGUGAAGUAGUUAGAAUGUGUGGUGUAGCGGUGAAAUGCAUAGAGAUCACACAGAAUACCGAUUGCGAAGGCAGAUUACUAACAAUAUACUGACGCUGAGGGACGAAAGCGUGGGUAGCGAACAGGAUUAGAUACCCUGGUAGUCCACGCCGUAAACGAUGGAUACUAGCUGUUCGACCAACAUUGGUUGGUUGAGUGGCUAAGCGAAAGUGAUAAGUAUCCCACCUGGGGAGUACGGUCGCAAGACUGAAACUCAAAGGAAUUGACGGGGGCCCGCACAGGCGGUGGAGCAUGUGGUUUAAUUCGAUGAUACGCGAGGAACCUUACCAGGGCUUAAAUGUAAGUUGCAUGAUUUAGAGAUAGAUCUUUCUUCGGACUACUUACAAGGUGCUGCAUGGUUGUCGUCAGCUCGUGCCGUGAGGUGUCAGGUUAAGCCCUAUAACGAGCGCAACCCCUGUCGUUAGUUGCCAGCAAGUUAAGUUGGGCACUCUAGCGAGACUGCCAGUGCAAACUGUGAGGAAGGUGGGGAUGACGUCAAAUCAUCACGGCCCUUACGUCCUGGGCUACACACGUGCUACAAUGGUCGGUACAGAGAGCAGCCACUACGCGAGUAGGAGCGAAUCUAUAAAACCGAUCUCAGUUCGGAUCGCAGUCUGCAACUCGACUGCGUGAAGCUGGAAUCGCUAGUAAUCGGAUAUCAGCCAUGAUCCGGUGAAUACGUUCCCGGGCCUUGUACACACCGCCCGUCAAGCCAUGGAAGCUGGGAGUACCUGAAGUCGGUUACCGCAAGGAGCUGCCUAGGGUAAAACUGGUAACUGGGGCU
rnacentral:rRNA from 1 species